GAAAUGCGAUAAGUAAUGUGAAUUGCAGAAUUCAGUGAAUCAUCGAAUCUUUGAACGCAUCUUGCGCUCCUUGGUAUUCCAUGGGGCAUGCCUGUUCGAGCGUCAUUUGUACCCUCAAGCUCUGCUUGGUGUUGGGUGUUUGUCCCGUCUCCGCGCGUGGACUCGCCCCAAAGUGAUUGGCAGCCGGCGUACUGGUCCCGGAGCGCAGCACAUGUCGCGCAAACGAGUGCCUUGGUACGGCGGCGUCCAUAAGCCCCUCUCUCACGCUCUUGACCUCGGAUCAGGUAGGGAUACCCGCUGAACUUAAGC
rnacentral:misc_RNA from 1 species